rnacentral:rRNA from 1 species
UACAGAGGUCUCAAGCGUUGUUCGGAUUCAUUGGGCGUAAAGGGUGCGUAGGCGGCGCGGUAAGUCGGGUGUGAAAUCUCGGAGCUUAACUCCGAAACUGCAUUCGAUACUGCCGUGCUUGAGGACGGGAGAGGAGACUGGAAUUUACGGUGUAGCGGUGAAAUGCGUAGAUAUCGGAAGGAAGACCAGUGGCGAAGGCGGGUCUCUGGACAGUUCCUGACGCUGAGGCACGAAGGUCAGGGGAGCAAACGGG